UACAAAACCAUUACAUUUUUAUAAAAAAAUAAUUAAUUAAGAUUAUGUUAAUAAAUAGUAUUUAUUUUAGCAAUGACUUAAAUCUCUCCACCCCUCCUCAGAAAGUGUAAUCCUCCGGAUGUUUUGCAUUGCUGUUUUAUCGUCAUGGUCUUGAGUCCUGGUUGCUGCGCGUAAUAUUGUUAAGUGACGGUAUUGACAAACAUAAAGUCUGCAAAUAUAAUGCGGAAAUCAGGAUGUCGCCCCACAGACGCAAUGGGUUGUAAUUAAGGCAGUCUCUGCAGUCACUGAGUCUGGGACGUCCCGUGAAAGCGGUGCCAGGGUCCCAGAUGUCUGUGGAGUUGGCAGUGACCGGCGUGCAGGCCUUCCGCGCCCCAUCCAGGGAAGGGGGGGGGCUGCAGAGGGGAUGUUCUAGGAGGAGUGCUGUUCAGUGGUGCCAGGAGAGAUGGAGCAUCACAGCAUCCAACCAGGCCAGAGGUCUCCACGACGCCCCUUUCAAAGAGCUCCCCGAUCAGCAGAGCUAGCCUCAGAAAGAAGAACAAGUACAGGGUCCGGUCAUCCAGCCUGAGCAAGCCCACCUGGAGACCCAAGACCACGGGCUCCAUCAAGACUAAACCCCCCUGGAGGUAUUAAAGUGACCAGUUAACCAAGGAGAAGCACUGGAGCAGCAAGAAUUAACAUGAAAGAGCUGUGCAUGGUUUGUGAUAGGGAGUGCUUAGUGAACAUACAGGAAGGAAUCUAUCUUGCAGGGCUGUGUUGAACCUGAAGGCUUUUCCCGAAUGAUAAAGGUGAUUUGGACUAGUCGUUCUCCCUCCUAGGGAUAGUAAAGGGCCCUUGUAAAUGGUGCAUGUAUAUGUCCUAUUGCAUGAUUUGGAUGAAGGUUGAGGUGAGAUAUACACUAUGGUUAAUGUGUAUAUGGCACCUUGAGAUGAGUUUUGCACUAAAUGUGUUCCUGUGUGUGUGUGUGUGCGUGUGCCUGUGGGUGUGUUGGAGUGUGUGUCUUUGUAUAAUGAAAAGGGACCACAAACAGAUAUGGACAGAAAAGAUUUGUUUUUAUUUUAGUUUAGUUUUUUUGCUGGAUUUCUUGUAGCUACUGGGAGGGGAGAGGUGUACAAGCACUUAUAUGAAGUGAAGUGUCCAGAACACUAGUUAUUGCUACUGAACCUCAAUGUAGAAGUAAUCUACUAAAACAGUUUUAAGUAUCCUUUACCGAUUGUAAAUAUUAGUGGGUCCUCCCUUAGCGUUGAUUCCUAUUCCUGGCACUGCCUGCGUGUUGGCAUGGAGGCAGUGUGGACACAUCACUGUCUUACUCUGUCUUUGUCAUGGUGUGUAACGGAUUGAGUACAAGCCAUUUGCUACUACUGUCUUCUUGGCCCCCUUGUAAAUGAGAUGCAAAUCUCAAGUUUUGCAGUAUUAAUUACCACAGUAAUUUGAUUUGUUUUUCAUUGUGCAGAUAAUCAAAUCCCCAAUUCUCUCCCUGUUCAUAAAAUCAAUUGAAUUUGAUUAAUAAUGUACUUCUUUCAUACAAGUGAUGUUGGUAUUUGUAUAACUGUUUGUAUAAAUUAAUUAGGAGAUGUGAUACUUUUUAUUGGACUAACUAAACAGUAAUUAAUCAUAAGCUUUCAAGACCUCAAAGGUCUCUUCUUCAGGUAAAAGCUUUCCUACUUUCACCUGAAGAGACUUUUGAGCAGCGCUCCAGAUAAGAUUUUGGGUCUGGGAGUAAUUUACCCUCUAAUUUUAACACUCAGGGAUUAAAGUGGAUUUUCAGGGGUAAAAUGCAACAUUACCUUGAUGUCAUGAGUAAUCUUGAUAAAUACUGUACAAUCAUUAAUGGUAAUGGGGUAGGCAUUAAAAAAGAGCCUUCCAUUUUAACUGCAGUGUUACUUUGAACUACUGUACAGCCAUGCGUGUGUUCUACAAGAUUCUUUAUCGGCUCAGCAAAUUUUUUUCGAGGUAUCACACUGACUCUACCAAUUAAUUGCGUUACUUAUAUUUUAACAUUAAAUUCUUAAACUCAGUGAACAUGUUAACUUCAAUAUCAAGCCAUACAGGUAAAUACAAUAAGGACAUUCAUUAAUAAGUUAUACAAGUGUUACUUUUAUAUUAUAAGCGCCUUUUUUUUAGCGGGGUGUUUACGCUUCAACCUGUGUAGCUUCAGCUUUUUUUUACUUUAUUGUUACUGUGAUUGGCUGCAAAGACAACAGGGCUAGCCAGAGAUUGGAUAAUGUUUGUUGGGUUGUUCUUGGGUACAGUAUCCUAGGAACUGAAGACAUUGUAUUCUGGGAGAUUUAGUUAGUGGAAGUUUUAGGGGAAGCAGACAAGGUGUGCAGCAAAAUUGCUAUGCAUAUUUUUACGCAUUCAAUUCAAAUUGAGUGCAUAUUCCGGCUUUUUUAAUGUGUAAAAAUGGCAGGUACACCGCUUAUCUUGGCCGCUGCCUUUGAAGUCUUGAAAGCUUGUGAUUAUUUAUUGUUUAGUUAGUCUCUUUGUCUAUCAUCUUUUGACUGAUACGGCUACAAUUUAAUCUAUAAUAUAAUGUGUUGAUUUGUAUUUUUUAUUUUUAUGAAAGUAAAUUUAAUAAAUAUUUUUCUUCCUCAAAAAGGUCCUUGUCUUUGAACACAAUGAGUACUGUUAUUCACUGAGUGUAAGAGGUAGUCCUUAUUUAAAGAUUCCUACAUACAGUCAGUCACACUGUCACACUGCAGAUAAAAUAGGAUGUACGAUUGACAGUACAUUUGGAGAUAAUGAUGCAAAUGUUUUACGCAAUACCAAUAAUAUUUCUGAAGCACCACAAGUGCCCCUGUUAAAAAUGCUCGAUCUACUAGAGGUACUAUAUCUAGGCCACAAUUGUGACAAUAUUCACCUUCAGAGACACAGGCUUUGUGUGCAUCUCUGCAAUGCAAACAGCUGAGGUUCUUCGGGUGAACAAUAAGAACACAGUAAAGCAUUUGUAGUUGAAUGUAGAUUUCUUUUUAUAUAAUACAUCCAAUUAAUAUAUUUCUUUCAAUGGACUCGAGAGGAAGAGUGCCUCACGAUGUGUAGAUACAUUAACAGAAUCAGUACGUGCCAGUACUGCAGCAGACCCUUGGUACAGCACGUUUGGGUCACAGUGUAGAGAAAGUACAGCUGCUUUUAACAAGCAGUAGCUUGUUUUAUUCUGGUCCAAUUCAUUCUCCUGAUUUGAAUAAUAAAACAAGAUGAUUACUGAUCCUUGAAAUCGGCUCUUUAUCAAGCAUUAUGGUCAAAUAUACAGUCGGCUCUCAUUUAAUAUGAAUUUCAAGAGACCAGCAAAUAAAUGUCAUAUCAGUAAUUCUUAUUCUCUG